CUUGAGCUGGCGCUGGAAAGUGGUCUCUGGGGAGUACUUGUCCAUGCGCCACACACUGUUGGGAGGGCACUCCUCCAUUCCGUCGCUGGCCGCGCGAGAAAAUGCGAUGCGCAGAAAAUUCCGCCGGAUCUCCAGAAUCGUGCCCUCGAACGACUGGUAGUCGUCCAUGGUCUAUUUGCCCCAGAAAACUUAUUCAUCGUUGUGUGCAAUCCAUGGCGUUGCAACAUCAUAACAAUAAAUUACCGUUCCUCUCAAUCCAUGGUCAGAUAACCCGGAACAACUACUUAUCUUUGCAUGCAUUCCAUUGUCUGGGAGCCUCAGAAAUAUCCCCCAUCAUUGCAUGCACUCCAGUUAGAUGACAUCCUGAACCCCUUCUAGCCCGGUAGGUCUGCCCAGCAUUCGUAGAGUUGGCUGCCAUGCCCAGGCGAUUGUAGCACGAGAGGGGCAGCUGUCAUAUAAAUAGGUACUGUGCCAGUGAGGCAAUGGCGUGCAUGUCAGCAGCAAGACCAGAUAAAAACUAUAAGUGCAUGAAUAUGCUCUCACCGUGCCACGAACGGCUUCGGGUAGCUGCCCGUCCUGCAUGGUCCUGACCAGCAAGAUGCCAUCUCCCUGGG
rnacentral:lncRNA from 1 species